GUGCUCAGUUGGUAGAGCAUGAGACUCUUUAUCUCAGUUCCAUGGGUUCAAGCCCCAUGUUGGGCA